UUCGAUUUGGAGGUUGUGCCCUUGAGGCGUGGCUUCCGGAGCUAACGCGUUAAAUCGACCGCCUGGGGAGUACGGCCGCAAGGUUAAAACUCAAAUGAAUUGACGGGGGCCCGCACAAGCGGUGGAGCAUGUGGUUUAAUUCGAUGCAACGCGAAGAACCUUACCUACUCUUGACAUCCAGAGAACUUUCCAGAGAUGGAUUGGUGCCUUCGGGAACUCUGAGACAGGUGCUGCAUGGCUGUCGUCAGCUCGUGUUGUGAAAUGUUGGGUUAAGUCCCGCAACGAGCGCAACCCUUAUCCUUUGUUGCCAGCGGUUCGGCCGGGAACUCAAAGGAGACUGCCAGUGAUAAACUGGAGGAAGGUGGGGAUGACGUCAAGUCAUCAUGGCCCUUACGAGUAGGGCUACACACGUGCUACAAUGGCGUAUACAAAGAGAAGCGACCUCGCGAGAGCAAGCGGACCUCAUAAAGUACGUCGUAGUCCGGAUUGGAGUCUGCAACUCGACUCCAUGAAGUCGGAAUCGCUAGUAAUCGUAGAUCAGAAUGCUACGGUGAAUACGUUCCCGGGCCUUGUACACACCGCCCGUCACACCAUGGGAGUGGGUUGCAAAAGAAGUAGGUAGCUUAACCUUCGGGAGGGCGCUUACCACUUUGUGAUUCAUGACUGGGGUGAAGUCGUACAAGGGUAACCGGAC
rnacentral:rRNA from 1 species